rnacentral:rRNA from 1 species
AUUGAACGCUGGCGGCAGGCUUAACACAUGCAAGUCGAACGGUAAGGCCCUUCGGGGUACACGAGUGGCGAACGGGUGAGUAACACGUGGGUGAUCUGCCCUGCACUUCGGGAUAAGCCUGGGAAACUGGGUCUAAUACCGGAUAGGACCACUGCCUGCAUGGGUGGUGGUGGAAAGCUUUUGCGGUGUGGGAUGGGCCCGCGGCCUAUCAGCUUGUUGGUGGGGUGAUGGCCUACCAAGGCGACGACGGGUAGCCGGCCUGAGAGGGUGACCGGCCACACUGGGACUGAGAUACGGCCCAGACUCCUACGGGAGGCAGCAGUGGGGAAUAUUGCACAAUGGGCGCAAGCCUGAUGCAGCGACGCCGCGUGAGGGAUGACGGCCUUCGGGUUGUAAACCUCUUUCAGCACCGACGAAGCGUAAGUGACGGUAGGUGCAGAAGAAGGACCGGCCAACUACGUGCCAGCAGCAGCCGCAGUAA